GUCAGCGUGGGUUCGGCAUGUGAUGCUGCCCCCGCGCUCUUACUGUUGCCGGCCCCACAGCGCAGCACUGCAGGAGAGGAGACAGAGAGACAGCUCUCACUGCUGGGAGCUGAGCUCUCUGGCUGUCAGGGGGCGGAGCCAAGCUUAGACAGACGUUACAGACAGAAGGACCACACUCCGGAGGAGCAGAGGUGACAGGAAGUGUCGCCACCUUUCUCCUGGAUCUGAUGCUCCGCCCCCCUGCAGUGUCUCUAGGGAGAGACAUGAUGACAUGGGGGUUGAGGAGGAGGCAUUCCAGCUCACAGUGCAGCAGCCCAGUGAGUCCGGAGUCAGACCUCCGGUGACCUUUUCCCCACCUGCCGUCAGUCACAGAGCUUGGGGUGAUUCCUUGCCUACUGUUGGACAUUGACCAAUCUGUGGAUAGCCACCUGUCCUGACUUCUUCUCAGAUCCGGACACUGCUUGAGUUGCCUUCUUCACUGACAAUUUACAUACACCCUGACCAAUUCCCUGGAUUCAACCUGGAUGUUUUGGGCUUUGGAUCUUCACCUGUGGUUUCACAGAUGUCUUCAUAGGGUGGCCCGGACGGUCACAUGAUGCAAGGGUUCUCGCCAACUCCGAUCUUUACAGUAUUGCUGAGGACAAGCUUGGUGGAUGGCUUUUCCCUCGAGAGAAAUCGGUGAUCGUACAUGGUGUGGACAUCCCGGUCCAUCUCAUUGGUGAUGCAGCAUACCCAUUACAGCGCUGGCUAAUGAAGGGCUACACCCAGCAUGUUCACUUAUCCCCCGAACAGACAUCAUAUACCCAUGCCCUAAGUUCGGCCCGUAUGGCAGUGGAGAAUGCGUUUGGGCGUUUAAAAGGACGCUGGCGCUGCCUCAUGAAGAGGAAUGAUGUGGACUUGAAAAUAAUGCCAGAUAUAGUAGCGGCCUGCUGCAUUCUCCAUAACAUUUGUGAGAUACAAAAGGAAAACUUUCUCCCCGAGUGGAAUGUACAUGAUCAUGGGGCGGGGGUCACUGUACAUGAUGCACCAGGCUUGGUGGGGCGGCAUGACGCUGCCAGUGAGUGCAUAAGGGCCACCAUUGCAGCUAAUCUUCAAACAAUGUUGCAGUAGAGAAAACAGACAAGUUUUUGUGUGCAAACAAUUUUUGUUUAUUUUGUUUUUUAAGUUAUAAAAAUUUGGUUCAAAA